rnacentral:rRNA from 1 species
UACGGAGGGUCCAAGCGUUAUCCGGAAUCAUUGGGUUUAAAGGGUCCGUAGGCGGGCUAUUAAGUCAGAGGUGAAAGUUUGCAGCUCAACUGUAAAAUUGCCUUUGAUACUGGUAGUCUUGAGUUAUAGUGAAGUGGUUAGAAUGUGUGGUGUAGCGGUGAAAUGCAUAGAUAUCACAUAGAAUACCAAUUGCGAAGGCAGAUCACUAACUAUAUACUGACGCUGAUGGACGAAAGCGUGGGGAGCGAACGGGAUUAGAUACCCGGGUAGU